rnacentral:lncRNA from 1 species
UUUUAACACAAAUAUUAUGUACUGCUAAUAUAAUCUAAUGAUGCACAUCUAUUCUAUUAUUGAUGUCAUAAAAAAAUUAUAGCAGGUAUCAUAGAAUGACCCAAUUUUUAGUUAUACAAGAUUUUCCUAGAAAAUGAAAACAACUUCACAUAGGAUUUUGAUAGCAACAUUUCGGACAUAGAUGGUCAAAUUAACCAAUAUCCAUUAUCUUUUAUCUUGCGUACUCGUUGUACAUGCGAGCACAUAUUGCUAGCUCAAGUGAUCAAAUACGCAGUAGGAACUCUCUAUAGAUCAUCAUGGAUGAUCUCAAGGGUGGUAACAAGAAAAAUGAGAGUCGUCAAUUGUGAAGGACAGCAAGUUGCUAUUAGCCAUAGAACGAAUUAACAAACCAUGUAUAAUGUAGCAUACGAAUGAAGUUAAGUGGAAAGCAGCCAGCUGAUUGCUUCAUUGAGGUCUCGUGCAUGCUUCACCUGCAUGCUUGUAAGCUAAACGUGGCUGAUUUUCAAAAAGCAACAGCAAGAUGCUUGCUUUAAUUAGAGCAUAUGCAUGCUUCACCUGUGUGCUUGUCAUGCAUGCUUGGUGGCGGUGGGCAUAUAUAAAGUGAAGAAUUGAAUUAGCUCUCACCAUUUCCCAUAAAUCAAACCAAAAAAGAGUAACUCGAAGAGAUAAGAAUUGAAGGGAAAGGAGAGAAAGAAAAAUGAAGAAAACAGAAGAAAAAAAGAAAAAAUAAAGAAAAGAGAGGCCAAGAGUGAGAGAGAAGAAAAGAAAUAAGAAAGUUAUAGGAAUUGAGGUUGGAUAGUUUGGAUUAGUUGAUAAUGUAUUUAUGAAAUUUAAACAAUUAUGAUUUAGUUUACAUUAUACAUAUUAGUUUUUAUAUCAGUUCUAACGGUUAAUUUUUUAAUCUUGUAUAGGAGAAAUUCAAGUAUCUAGGAACUCACAAGAGCCCAAACGAAUCUAGGGUGAAACAAGAUAUGUGAGUAGAUUAUGAUGAUGAUGAUGAUGAUGAUGAUGAUGAUGAUGAUGAUGAUGAUGGAACAUUUGUGUUUGAUAACAUGAUUUAGUAUCAUGUUAUGAUUAUAUGCAUGCACAUUAUAUGAUUGAUUCUGUCAUGAGGUGUGAUUGCUGAAAUAAUAACUAGACAACCUAAGAGAGGGGUUGAAUUGAGUUUUUAAAAACUAAUGCAAAACGAACCACACAACAAUAAUCUAAUGCCUUAAUAAGAACAAAAAUAAUAAAUUUAAUCAAGCACAAUAAUUAAAAAGUAAGGGAAGAGAGAUUAAACACGUGAUUUUUACGUGGUUCGGCUAACCAUGCCUACGUCCACGCCUCCAACCUCACCAGGCUUGAGGAUUCUACUAAGCAAGCCUCCAAGGCUUCAAUCACUCUUACAAUUGACUUCCAAGGUGUCAAUAAACCUUUACACAAAGAGAUUAUCCUCAAUCUUUUAUCCCAAGUGUAUCCCAACACUUACAACCUCUCAAUUUGAUUUUAAAAAAUAUUACAAAAUAAAUCUCUCACACACAACGUGUUUAAUUACAAAUGAAAAUCUAAAGUGUGAGUAAGUGAGAUGAAUACAAGAAUUUAAAACUUAAAGAAAAUUGUAUGCUCAAUAAUUUGCUCAAUGAUAAUUGUUGAAAUCGUUGUUGUUUAAAUUUAAUUGAGCUUAUUUAUAGUUGGAGCUAAAAUAUAGUCGUUGUUGACUUUUUACUCAAUGUCUGAUCGCCGUUAACUAGAUAUCGGAUCGUCGUUUUCAAGAUGUCAGAUCGCCGUUAGUAUCUAGAGGCUACUCUUCAAUUCUGUUCGAUGUCAGCUAGUCGUUGUCAAGACGUCGGUUAGUCGUUUGUUACAGUGACUGAUACAGUGAACUAUUUUAUAAAAUUACAGUGUGGCCCAAAAAACUUUAUAAAAUUAUACUAUGACCUAAAGCUUUAUAAAACUUGUCAAAUAAGUCUAUUUCUAGAAUUUUAAGCAAUAUUUGCUAAUUUCAAAGUUCUCAAGACUUUUUCAAUUUAAAUCAUUAACAUAAAAAUCAUAAAAUUACUUUUUAUUGAAUAUAAAGCCUUUAUAAUAUGAAAACUAUAUGAAAGAAUAAUUUGAGCUUUUAAAUCAAUAUUAAUAAAGUUUGUUAUCUUCAAAAUCAAUAUUAAAGAAAUAUUUAUGUUAACAAUUGCCAGUCACCAUAUGUGUACUGUUCUUAUUAAGUGUUGCAUAGGCAUAUUGAGACUUAAAUUACUCUGUCUGUACAAUGUAGUUAAAUUCCAUCAGGUAUUUGAGAGGUUUUUCCCCUACUCUGCUCGCGCGAUGAUGAUCCUGACAAUUAUGAUAGUUAUGCUUGGAUACUAUUUGGUGCAAUUUUGUCAUGUAUGUACGUAUAAUUUUCAUGUUUGCUAAUGCAUUAUAUUCAGUGUGGAGUUAUCUCAUGUGACUAUAUAUAAGGACUAGUACACUACUUUAUAUA